AAUGGGGGAAACCCUGACGCAGCGACGCCGCGUGAGCGAAGAAGGCCUUCGGGUUGUAAAGCUCUGUUUUAAGGGACGAAUGUUCAUGUGAGUAACUGCAUAUGAAGUGACGGUACCUUAAGAGGAAGCCCCGGCUAACUACGUGCCAGCAGCCGCGGUAAGACGUAGGGGGCGAGCGUUGUCCGGAAUUACUGGGCGUAAAGAGCACGUAGGCGGGAACUUAAGUCAGGUGUGAAAGACCGGGGCUCAACUCCGGGGUGGCACUUGAAACUGGGUUUCUUGAGGGCAGGAGAGGGAAGCAGAAUUCCUGGUGUAGCGGUGAAAUGCGUAGAAAUCAGGAGGAAUACCAGUGGCGAAGGCGGCUUUCUGGACUGACCCUGACGCUGAGGUGCGAAAGCGUGGGUAGCAAA
rnacentral:rRNA from 1 species